AAAAAAAAGAAGUAACAAAACAGAAAAACCGAACAAAACAAUUUAAAUGUUAAAUGUUCUAUUCACCAGGCUGGUAAUUGUGCUAGCACUGAGAAUACAGAAAUUAAAGACUCUGGUGGGCAGCUUACAUUCUAAAGAGAGCAAGGAAUAGAUUUCCAGACUCCAUGCUAAGUGCAGUAAUGACAGUAGGCACAACAUGCUGUAGGAGCUCCACUUCAGGGGGCACACUGAGGGCAAGAGGGUAGAGAGUUUUAAGAAUGCCAGACAAAACAAUGAGUAAAGUAGGAAGGCAAAUAACUACAAAAUAUCACAAGCACUGUGUGUAGCUGGAACCAAAAAUGUGAGGUGGAGCUGGGUGAAGAGGUAGACAGGGUCAGAGCUUGGAUGGCCUUGAUACUAUGCUGGAACCACACUUUAUCUUGUUGUUAAUGGGAUCCUCUGAAGCAUUGCAAGCAAGGAAGUGACAACGUCAGUUUUAGUUUCAGGAGGAUCAAAUCGUAGUUCAAUAUGGAAGAAAUAUGUGUGGCAGAAAGAUAUGGCCCUGAACUAGGGAAGGUAUAGUAAACCUUUUAUUAUAAGUAUAUAUGUGUAUAGGUAGAUAGAUAGAUAGAGGUGUAUGUGUAUGUGUAUGUAUUCCAAAUGACAACACUAUCAUGACUUAUUAUAAUAAGUUAAAAGCUCAUUUUUUAAAAUGGCAAUAUGGAAAAAUACAAAGCAAAAGAGUUAUUUGAAAUCUCACUACCAAGGAAUUAUACCAAUGUACACUUUUUUUUUUUUUUAGUCUCACUCUGUCUCCCAGGCUGGAGUGCAGUGGUGUGAUCCGGGACCUCCUCACUGCAACCUCCUCCUACUGGGUUCAAGCAAUUUUCCUGCCUCAGCCUCCCAAGUAGCUAGGACUACAGACGCGUGCCACGAUUUUUUAGUACAAAAAUACUAAAAAUUUGGGCUGGGUGUGGUGGCUUACGCCUGUAAUCCCAGCACUUUGGGAGGCUGAAGUGGAUGGAUCAUGAGGUCAGGAGUUCGAGACCAGCCUGGCCAAGAUGGUGAAACCCCAUCUCUACCAAAAAUACAAAUAUCAGCCAGGUGUGAUGCAGGGCGCCUGUAAUCCCAGCUACUCAGGAGGCUAAGGCAGGAGAAUCGCUUGAGCCUGGGAGGCAGAGAUUGCAGUGAACCAAGAUGGUGCCACUGCACUCCAGCCUGGUGACAGAGCAGAGCAAGACUCCAUCUCAAAAAA